AGAGUUUGAUCCUGGCUCAGGAUGAACGCUGGCGGCGUGCCUAACACAUGCAAGUCGAGCGGCAGCGCGAGUAGUUUACUACUUGGCGGCGAGCGGCGAACGGCUGAGUAACGCGUGGGAAUUUGCCCCAAAGUGAGGAAUAACUGCCCGAAAGGGUGGCUAAUGCCGCAUAUGAUCUUCGGAUUAAAGGAUUUAUCCGCUUUGGGAGAAGCCCGCGUCGGAUUAGGUAGUUGGUGAGGUAAUGGCUCACCAAGCCGACGAUCCGUAGCUGGUCUGAGAGGAUGACCAGCCAGACUGGAACUGAGACACGGUCCAGACUCCUACGGGAGGCAGCAGUGAGGAAUCUUCCACAAUGGGCGAAAGCCUGAUGGAGCAACGCCGCGUGCAGGAUGAAGGCCUUCGGGUUGUAAACUGCUUUUAUGAUUGAGGAAUUUGACAGUAGAUCAUGAAUAAGGAUCGGCUAACUACGUG
rnacentral:rRNA from 1 species